UGGCGCACGGGUGCGUAACGCGUGGGAAUCUGCCCCUUGGUUCGGAAUAACAGUUAGAAAUGACUGCUAAUACCGGAUGAUGUCUUCGGACCAAAGAUUUAUCGCCAAGGGAUGAGCCCGCGUAGGAUUAGCUAGUUGGUGAGGUAAAAGCUCACCAAGGCGACGAUCCUUAGCUGGUCUGAGAGGAUGAUCAGCCACACUGGGACUGAGACACGGCCCAG
rnacentral:rRNA from 1 species